GACGAACGCUGGCGGCGUGCCUAAUACAUGCAAGUUGAGCGGUAAAGGUUGGUUCUUGUACCAUCUGGAAGAGCAGCGCACGGGUGAGUCACGCGUGGAGCAUCUGCCUUUGUGUGGGGGAACACAUUUGGAAACGAAUGAUAAUACCGCAUAAAAACUUUAAACACAAGGUUUAAGGUUGAAAGAUGCAAUUGCAUCACUCAAAGAUGAUCUCGCGUUGUAUUAGUUAGUUGGUGAGGUAAAGGCGCACCAAGGCGAGGAUACAUUGCCGACCUGAACGGGUGGGCAGCCAGCUUGGGACGGAGACAGGCCCCAAACGCCUACGGGAGGCAGCAGGAGGGAAUCUUGGGCAAGGGGCGGAAGUCUGACCGAGAAACGCCGCGUGAGGGUAGAAGGUUGUCGGGUCGUAAAACUCUGUUGGUGGGGAAGAAAGUUGUUGAGAGUGGAAAGCUGAUCGAGUGACGGUAACGACCCAAAAAGCAACGGCUAACUACGUG
rnacentral:rRNA from 1 species